GAUCCUGGCUCAGGAUGAACGCUAGCUACAGGCUUAACACAUGCAAGUCGAGGGGAAACGAUAUUGGAAGCUUGCUUCCGAUAGGCGUCGACCGGCGCACGGGUGAGUAACGCGUAUCCAACCUGCCCACCACUUGGGAAUAACCUUGCGAAAGUAAGACUAAUGCCCAAUGACAUCCCACGAAGGCAUCCGAAUGGGAUUAAAGAUUUAUCGGUGAUGGAUGGGGAUGCGUCUGAUUAG
rnacentral:rRNA from 1 species